ACGAGGGGGGCAAAUGUUGUUCGGAAUCACUGGGCGUAAAGGGAGCGUAGGCGGGUUUUUAAGUCAGGUGUUUAAUCCCGGGGCCCAACCCCGGACAGGCACUUGAAACUGGGAAUCUUGAAUAGGGGAGAGGUCAGUGGAAUUGGAGGUGUAGCGGUGGAAUGCGUAGAGAUCUCCAAGAACACCAGUUGCGAAGGCGGCUGACUGGACCCAUAUUGACGCUGAGGCUCGAAAGCAUGGGGAGCAAACAGGA
rnacentral:rRNA from 1 species